rnacentral:rRNA from 1 species
CCUACGGGUGGCAGCAGUGGGGAAUAUUGGACAAUGGGCGAAAGCCUGAUCCAGCCAUGCCGCGUGUGUGAAGAAGGCCUUCGGGUUGUAAAGCACUUUCAGUGGGGAAGAAAGCCUUGGGGCUAAUACCCUCGAGGAAGGACAUCACCCACAGAAGAAGCACCGGCUAACUCCGUGCCAGCAGCCGCGGUAAUACGGAGGGUGCGAGCGUUAAUCGGAAUUACUGGGCGUAAAGCGCGCGUAGGCGGUCUGAUAAGCCGGUUGUGAAAGCCCCGGGCUCAACCUGGGAACGGCAUCCGGAACUGUCAGGCUAGAGUGCAGGAGAGGAAGGUAGAAUUCCCGGGGUAGCGGUGAAAUGCGUAGAGAUCGGGAGGAAUACCAGUGGCGAAGGCGGCCUUCUGGACUGACACUGACGCUGAGGUGCGAAAGCGUGGGUAGCAAACAGGAUUAGAUACCCCAGUAGUC